UACGAACCGUCCAAACGUUAUUCGGAAUUACUGGGCUUAAAGGGUGCGUAGGCGGCCUGACAAGUUGGGUGUGAAAUACCUCGGCUCAACCGAGGAACAGCGCUCAAAACUGUAAGGCUAGAGGAAGAUAGAGGUGAGCGGAACUUAAGGUGGAGCGGUGAAAUGCGUUGAUAUCUUAAGGAACACCCGUGGCGAAAGCGGCUCACUGGAUCUUUUCUGACGCUGAUGCACGAAAGCUAGGGGAGCAAACGGG
rnacentral:rRNA from 1 species